GGCGAACGCUGGCGGCGUGCUUAACACAUGCAAGUCGAGCGGUAAGGCCUUUCGGGGUACCCGAGCGGCGAACGGGUGAGUAACACGUGGGUGAUCUGCCCUGCACUUCGGGAUAAGCCUGGGAAACUGGGUCUAAUACCGGAUAUGACCUCCUAUCGCAUGGUGGGUGGUGGAAAGAUUUAUCGGUGCAGGAUGGGCCCGCGGCCUAUCAGCUUGUUGGUGGGGUAAUGGCCUACCAAGGCGACGACGGGUAGCCGACCUGAGAGGGUGACCGGCCACACUGGGACUGAGACACGGCCCAGACUCCUACGGGAGGCAGCAGUGGGGAAUAUUGCACAAUGGGCGAAAGCCUGAUGCAGCGACGCCGCGUGAGGGAUGACGGCCUUCGGGUUGUAAACCUCUUUCAGCAGGGACGAAGCGCAAGUGACGGUACCUGCAGAAGAAGCACCGGCUAACUACGUG
rnacentral:rRNA from 1 species